CUGUUUUCGGACAUUCCUUCCAGGUGAAAGACAGAUCAUCAGAUUGCUUUUAUAACCUCUCAGACACUAUGUUCGUGACGGAGGCUUUGGAAGAAAUCUUUAGAUAUGCAAGCAACUAUUAUCUUUUUCUCGAGGUCAAGAAAGUUGUGAAGAAGGGAGAGAAUCUUCAGCUCCAUCGUCUUCAGUUCUUCCGAAUUCCACCAGGAAUACCCAUUUGAUCGAUUUCUUGCUGGAGAAUCUGUGACAUGAACGUACACAAUUUUCUAAUCUUAGGGCUAUAUUAUUUUCGGGUUUGUUCUCAUCGAUCGGAUUAGAUGGGUUGUCCUCUAAUGGUGUACGUUCCGUUGUAAGUUGCGAUAAAGAUGGCGGCAAAGGCAGCUCUCCGUCUCGUGGGGUUCGAGCCGUGGUCCACUCCUUACUGGCCUCACUCUCUCGUGGCUGCAGCCAUUUCUGAUUUGCCCGAAAGCGUUUUGGAGUGUCAAGAGGUCCUUCAGAUUCGGAAGAAAGUGUGUUUGUGUUUUUUUUUCCUGCAAGUUUCUCUUUUCUUAUCAAAGACUCGAAUGUCAAUCGGUUUAACCAAAAAAAAAACUCGAAUGUCAAUCGGUUUAGUUCGGUUCAGUUUAGUGUUGGUUUUAUUC